rnacentral:rRNA from 1 species
CAAUAGCGUAUAUUAAAGUUGUUGCAGUUAGAACGCUCGUAGUCGGAUUUCGGGGCGUUCCGACCGGUCUGCCGAUGGGUAUGCACUGGCCGGAGUGUCCUUUUUGCCGGAGACCGUGCCUACUCUUAACUGAGCGGGGGCGGGAGACGGCACUUUUACUUUGAAAAAAUCAGAGUGUUUCAAGCAGGCAGCUCGCUCUUGCAUGGAUUAGCAUGGGAUAAUGAAAUAGGACUUUGGUGCUAUUUUGUUGGUUUCGAACACCGAAGUAAUGAUGAGAAGGGACAGUCAGGGGCACUCGUAUUCCGCAGAGAGAGGUGAAAUUCUCAGACCCGCGGAAGACGAACCACUGCGAAANCANNNGCCAGGGAUGUUUACACNGA